CGAAUGACUCUCGGCAACGGAUAUCUCGGCUCUCGCAUCGAUGAAGAACGCAGCGAAAUGCGAUACUUGGUGUGAAUUGCAGGAUCCCGCGAACCAUCGAGUCUUUGAACGCAAGUUGCGCCCGAAGCCUUCCGGCCGAGGGCACGUCUGCCUGGGUGUCACUC
rnacentral:rRNA from 1 species